rnacentral:rRNA from 1 species
AACGCUGGCGGCGUGCCUAAUACAUGCAAGUAGAACGCUGAAGGAGGAGCUUGCUUCUCUGGAUGAGUUGCGAACGGGUGAGUAACGCGUAGGUAACCUGCCUGGUAGCGGGGGAUAACUAUUGGAAACGAUAGCUAAUACCGCAUAAGAGUAGAUGUUGCAUGACAUUUGCUUAAAAGGUGCAAAUGCAUCACUACCAGAUGGACCUGCGUUGUAUUAGCUAGUUGGUGAGGUAACGGCUCACCAAGGCAACGAUACAUAGCCGACCUGAGAGGGUGAUCGGCCACACUGGGACUGAGACACGGCCCAGACCUCUACGGGAGGCAGCAGUAGGGAAUCUUCGGCAAUGGACGGAAGUCUGACCGAGCAACGCCGCGUGAGUGAAGAAGGUUUUCGGAUCGUAAAGCUCUGUUGUAAGAGAAGAACGAGUGUGAGAGU